GAUGAAAUGAUGCAUGGUGAUGUAGGCAUGUGGAGGUGUGAUGACUGUCUGAUUGUUGGGGCCUAACGAGCCAAAUGAAAUGGUUAGACCUAAUAAUCGUCAUUUCUAAGGAUUAUUGGUGACCAGAAGGGACCAAAUCCCUUUAAAUCGGAUUGAUGAAUGGGAAGCCUGACAAUAACUCCAAAGACUCCAUUUGAAACGCACCCACACCGCAACUUCAGGCCUAGACUAUUGUGGAUUAUGUCUUCACCACGUGCUGGAGGUCUGGAGAACCUCGUAAAUCCAUUCAACACUUGACUUGUUAACAGCAUAUACAGGUCUAUAAAAACAGAGUGUAAUUUGUUUAUUGCGCAUUAACCCUGUUUUCGUUCAUCAGGUCGACUUUAUGAGAUGUUCCACAUUUUAAAAAAAGUGUUGACAGGAGGUAGUUGCUAUCUUUGGUUAUCUAGCUGUAUGAGUGUUUAUCUGCCUUCAUAAAGCUAGAUAACCGAAAGUAGAAACGUCCUCCUUAACUGCAUAGUGGACAAGUUGGGAAGCAAUGAUGGCAGGGAACUGCGUGAGGCUCUCAAACUGCAGUGUCUUUGUGAUAGACCAGAGGACUGGAGCUAAGGGGGAAAACGCCAUCUGCAACUGCCAGCCAUUUACACUGCCUUUUUGGAGCAAGAGGGAGAGAGGGAAAAAUGGUGCAAUUGUCCAAAUGAAAGAAAAGAAAAAUAAUAGUCAACCCUCAUCCUUCUUCUACCAGCUCCCCUCCCUUCUUCGUCAACGGAAGCAUUUAGUGCCAUCUGUGCCCCCGGAGAAAAGAGGAAAAAAAGAAAGGAGUGAGACUCUACAUCCCAAGUGCCAAUGGGGACAAAGAGGCUGCCAGUUGCCACGGACCACCAGAUGCUGGAAGACUGCAAGUCUGAAUGAGGGGUGUGCUUUCAGGAAGCCAUCUUGAUGGAGAAGCUGGCUGCUGCUCCCUAAAAUGGCUGUGUUGGCAUGAGGCUCCUGGCAAUAAAACUCCCAUCGUUGUCAUCAGCUGCUGGAGAAACCAAGGCCAUCCUGCUAUGUUUGAGUCAAAUGGUCAAUCACAUCACCUCAGGAAUCCAGCGUCCAGCAUCUCUUCCAGAUGGUUCGCUGUGAAAAUUUAACAAGCAGAUGAGAGACGAUUUAGAAUGUGCACUAAUUGAUUUAACUGGGUGUCUUAAAACCUUGCAGACAAUCAGUAAGACUGGAUGGGUGUGUGGAUUUGGGCUGUUCACCCAGUUAAAUCUUAGAUGUUAGAAAAUGUGUUGUACAGUCUUAUCAGUGCUAUAUAAACUGAAGAGAAUAAUGUGCCUUAAUGUGUGAAAAGUUUACAGUGAAAGUUGUUGUUAUUGAAACAUUUCAGUGCAUGGGAAUUUGCGAUCCCUAUUUUAAAUACUAGUAUUUUUAAUGUUAGUCAUCCAUGUUUCAUGUUAUUAUAUUAUAAAAUGUGCCUGUUUCAGUUGAUGUACAGGAAAUUGGUUAAUCCAGAUAUUUUGUAUGGCUACUGUAUGGUUUAAGAAUUAUGCUCAGUUUCUCUCUGCAUUAUCAUUUGUCUGAUUAUGUGAUAUGUGAAACAAACUUAUUAAACUGCACAAAUAAACAACAUUAAAGCACUGAGUGAAUGAUUGUUGACACUGAAAAAGCCAUUUUAAGUUAUACCCUGUAUAGAAAUGUACUUUAAUGGGAGGUGGACGUCAACACAGCUUCACAUAUAGUGGCCACAGGCUAUUUUGUAACCACCUACUUCAAGACAGCUUGACAGCUCAUAGUUCUG